AUUUCUAAAAUUUGUAAGUCACUUUGGAUAAAAGCAUCUGCUAAAUGACUAAAU
rfam:Larimichthys crocea isolate SSNF unplaced genomic scaffold scaffold485, whole genome shotgun sequence.